UUUUGCACACAUUUUUAUGAAGUUUCUGUUGUUUAGUUUUUGAAUGGUAACUUCAUAAAUUUGGAACAACCUAAGUAUCAGCUUCUAUUUGGCUUGUUGAUUCUAUCAUGCAAACGGUCAAUAUGAUGUAGCUCGUUCGUCUGCUUACACAUGUAGUAUCAAGCCUAGAUAUUAAGAGGUUUUUAGCCUUUGUAGUGUGCAGGAG
rnacentral:lncRNA from 1 species